rnacentral:rRNA from 1 species
UGGGGAAUAUUGGACAAUGGGCGAAAGCCUGAUCCAGCCAUGCCGCGUGUGUGAAGAAGGUCUUCGGAUUGUAAAGCACUUUAAGUUGGGAGGAAGGGCAUUAACCUAAUACGUUAGUGUUUUGACGUUACCGACAGAAUAAGCACCGGCUAACUCUGUGCCAGCAGCCGCGGUAAUACAGAGGGGGCAAGCGUUAAUCGGAAUUACUGGGCGUAAAGUGCGCGUAGGUGGUUUGUUAAGUUGGAUGUGAAAGCCCCGGGCUCAACCUGGGAACUGCAUCCAAAACUGGCAAGCUAGAGUACGGUAGAGGGUGGUGGAAUUUCCUGUGUAGCGGUGAAAUGCGUAGAUAUAGGAAGGAACACCAGUGGCGAAGGCGACCACCUGGACUGAUACUGACACUGAGGUGCGAAAGCGUGGGGAGCAAACA